rnacentral:rRNA from 1 species
GUAGGUGGCAAGCGUUGUCCGGAAUUAUUGGGCGUAAAGCGCGCGCAGGCGGUUUUUUAAGUCUGAUGUGAAAGCCCACGGCUCAACCGUGGAGGGUCAUUGGAAACUGGAGAACUUGAGUACAGAAGAGGAAAGCGGAAUUCCACGUGUAGCGGUGAAAUGCGUAGAGAUGUGGAGGAACACCAGUGGCGAAGGCGGCUUUCUGGUCUGUAACUGACGCUGAGGCGCGAAAGCGUGGGGAGCAAACAGGAUUAGAUACCCUGGUAGUCCACGCCGUAAACGAUGAGUGCUAAGUGUUAGGGGGUUUCCGCCCCCCUUAGUGCUGCAGCUAACGCAUUAAGCACUCCGCCCUGGGAGUACGGCCGCAAGGCUG